UCCCGCCUCCUGCCAUCCUGAGGGUCGGGGGCAGAGGGAAGUGUCUCCUGGUGGGCAGGGAGACCUACCAGUGUGCCUUGCCAGCCCAGGACUGCCCCCUCCCAGCCCCGUCAGAGUCCUGGGCCUGAGAAGCUCUGUCUCCCACGGGAGGCAGUGGCCUCGCCCUUUCUCUGCCUCCAGCACCCAGGGCCGCUGCAGAUGGCAGUGUCUCUGGGGACAGCAGCUACGACUGAGUCCACAGGCCGACAUUGAGCUGCUCAGGCCGAGGCGGUGCGCUCAGCACAGAGCCCCUGGAACAGGCAUCUGCAGGUCGUGAGCUGAGGCCGCCGCGAUGCCGCACUUCCUGGACUGGUUCGUGCCCGUGUACCUGGUCAUCUCCGUGCUCAUCCUGGUGGGCUUCGGCGCCUGCAUCUACUACUUCGAGCCUGGCCUGCAGGAGGCGCACAAGUGGCGCAUGCAGCGCCCCCUGGUGGACCGUGACCUCCGCAAGACCCUGAUGGUCCGCGACAACUUGGCCUUCGGAGGCCCAGAGGUCUGAGCUGACCGGCGCCAGGCACCGGGCGCCCUCCCCCGCCUCGCCCAGCCUGGAGACCCUGAGGCAGAGAGAGGACAACGUCUGCUCCUCCGGGCCACCCCUCUGGAGCUGGGCCCUCCCGGCAGAAGCUUCUGGGUGCCCCGGGUGGACACUGGCUGCACCUGCUGAGAUAGGGGCACCUGGGUAUCUUGAGGUGUCACUGCUGCUGGCCCGGGGCUUGCUUUCCACCUCAAGCCAGUUCUCUCCACACCUGCCCACCCCAGCUCUGGGUUUAUCCCCCGCUGGCCUCCAGUGCCUUUGUGCUGCCCAGCACUCUCGCCCCUCGCCUGGAGUCAGGCACCGCUGCCCCUGCCUGUCCUAAGUGUCUAGAUUCCCACUUCCCCACUGAAUCCCCGGUGACACUCAACAGCCCGCUCCACCCGAGGAGGCAACCUCCCUGCAGCCUCACAUGGCAGGCUUCAAAGCUGACCCAAGGGAAAGGCCCUAUUUGGAGGGGUGUCUGCUCCUUCCAGUUCAGCCCCACCCCUCUGGACUCAGACUUGGCAAUGGUGAGAGUGUGUGACGGGGUGUGCAGAGGGGUGAGACCACAGAGGACGGAGGGGUGUGUGUGUGUGUGUAUGUGUAAGAGGGAGAGCGGGGGCCCCAAGCAGGGCGGGAGGUGGCGGGGACAGGGCGAGCCUGUGAUAGGCUGCCCACAGCGGUUCUCACCUCCCUCCCUGUGCCAGGCUUCCCUACUCUCUCCUUCCCCAAGGCCCCUGCCCUGUACUGCAGCCCCCAGCACCAUCCCCCUGCCCUCCCAACCCCACCAGGGAGCCCUCCUCCUUUGUGGAACACUGUUGCCUCAUUUGGGAUGUCGAGUAGCAGCCUGUCUCACUCUCCUCCUCUGGGGCUUCCCUCUUAGUUUCUUGCAAUAAUAAAGACUUCAUGACUAUUUCUGCA